CUCUUUCAUACUCUCCCAUCCAAAAGCCACUGUGUAAGGGAACUUGCCACAGCUGAAUCUGACAUCACAGAAAGCUUUCAGUGGCAAAACCCUCAAAAUGCAGUUUAUAACCGACUCUUGAGAUGGGGGACCCAGAGGGCGACCCCCACCUUCAAGAGGUCGUGCCAGUAAAGAAGGGAGAUGGGGGUGGGGGUGGAGGAGAAACAGGAGCCAUAAAGCACAGAAGAAACUCUUGUCAUCCUCGAAGCACAGACCAAGACCACUGAUUGACGUGGUCACCGCUGGGGGGUGUGGAGGCACCUGCAUGGAGACUGCUGCACCUUGUCCGAUGCUCACCUCCCUGGAACCCCUAAGCCAGAAGCGAUGGCGGCUUUCCAGGGCGUUUCCAAAUGCGUCAGAAAGGGUCCUGGCCCUGUAACCUUCCCAGGCUGACAGGAGGUGCUUGGAUUGGUUAUUCCAGUUUGCUUAGCCGGGUCCCCCCCUCAGCAGAAGUGAGGGGUGAGGGAAGGGGAGAACAAAGUGUAUCUGGUUCCUCUCUGGUCUUGGUGCUUUUCGUAGCUGAGCUUUUAGCGACUAAAUGUGCAAUUUCCAGAGUUCCUGUCUGCAAGCCUAACUCCCGGGCGGCACUCUGGUUUGACUUUAUCGGGUCCAUGGUUCUCAACUCCUCCUCCAACAUCUCAGACUACGCUGUUACUGCCACAAUUUCUAUUUGGCAUUGCACAAGCCACUAGCGUCAGAUUCCUUUUAGUUUUCAGACAAAUGGGCCGCAAAGGUCUCAUUCUAGUCAAAUCUUUCCCUCCAAAGGCAAAGGCUCAUGCUCUGUGUGUUGACCAUUGUGAGCUAUAAAAAUUUCCAGAAAGUUACUGUGCUCUUCUAACACAGGGUCUUACCAUUUUCUUUUUAAACCCUUCACACACACUACUCUUUUAAAACCACUCACUUCCAGCAAAAAUUCACAUGGAGCAAAGAGAUUAAAGUGCCUAACUUUAAAAAGGCAGGAAAUUUUUUCCUGGGCUAUAUGAAAUCUGGAAACA
rnacentral:lncRNA from 1 species